UGAAAUUUCCCCAAGUGAUAAUAAUCUGAUACUCUCUAAUAUAUUAAAACACCAACAUUCUCUAUGAAUUGAUACACAAUACAUGCCCUAUGAAUUGAUACAUUAACAUUCCCUAUGAAUUGAUAAACAGACAUUCCCUAUGAACUGAUACACAGAUAUUCCAUAUAAAUUGAUACAGUGACAUUCCCUAUGAACUUAUACACAAACAUUCCCUAUUAACUGAUAGUCAACAACAUUCCCUAUUAAUGGAUGCAUCAACAUUCCCUAUUAACAUAUACACUGACAUAUACAGAUAUUCCCUAUGAAUUGAUACACCAACAUUCUCUAUGAAUUGAUACAAUGACAUCCCUAUAAAUUGAUACAACGACAUUCCUUAUGAAUCAGUACACUGACAUUCUUUAUCAACUGAAACACCAACUUCCCUAUGAACUGAUACACUGAGAGUCCCUUUGAAAUGAUACACAAACAUUCCCAAUGAAUUGAUACACAGAUAUUUCCUAUGAUUUGAUGCAAUGGCAUUUCUUAUAAAUCAGUAUACUGACAUUCUUUAACAAGUGAAACAGCAAGAUUCCCUAUGAAUUGACAUUAUCAACAUUCCUUAUGAAUUGAUACAAUGAUAUUCCCUAUGAAUAGAUGCACUGGCAUUCCCUAUGAAUUGAUACAAUGACAUCUCCCAUGAAUUGACACAAUAACAUUCCCUAUGAAUAGAUCACUGACAUUUUUUAUCAAUUGAUACAAUGAUAUCUCUAUUAAUUGAUACUCCAACAUUCACUAUUAACUGAUACAGUGACAUUCCCUAUGAAAAGAUACACUGACAUUUCCUACCAAUUGAUUCACCAAUUUCUCCUAUGAAUUUAUACACCAACAUUCCCUAUGAAUGGUUACAUUUGUAGUGUAUGAAAUGAUCUAAUGAUCCAAUAAAAUGAAACAUUAUUUUACGUAAUCUAUAAAUUUAAACAAUUACUUUCCUGAAAUUUCAAAUGUAAUUUUGACCCUGAAAAUUCAUUAAAGUACUAUAUACAUAAUACAUUUUCAAACAAUAACUGACUUUUAUUAAACUUUGCUAUAAUUAGCAUUAACUUAUUUCAUUAUGACCUUUACUCUUAACUGACCCCUAGAACUUUUAUCUUCACUAACAAAAAACUUUCAUUUCCAAGAAACUUUGGCUUGAAGAGUCACCUUCAGAGAUACUGAAUUUCAAUCUUAAUUUGACCUGCAUUUGACCUUUAAAACCAUUGCUAUAAAUAGUCUUAAUUUUGACCUUUACAACCAUUACUUAACUUAUAAAUAAUCGUUAAUCUAUUUAAACACCUUUUCAGGAUGAUCAAAACGAAAGUUAUAAAUACACCUGACCUAAAUCAUACCCUUGCGUGUUGUCACACAUAUAUCUCACAAUCUUCAAUAGCUGAUAUAAAUGCAAAGCCACUAAUCUAUCAAUGAAUAAAUCAAAUUACAAUAUCUGAAAAUGAUCUGAUAGUAAAAACACCAUUAAACACACAAAAUUCCAUUCAUAACACAUUUUUUGUUUAUCCAAUGCUGCUAAAUAUACCUGCCACAGAAAACAAACAGGUAUGUUACUAUUCUUACAUAAAAACUAUGGAGUAUAUACUUGAUUCCUAUAUAAACACAGUGUUUAUGUUUGCCAAUAAUGCGUACAUCCCACUUUCAUUAAUAGAAAUAAGUCCAUCUACUUAAUGACGUAAAAUAUUCAUAAAAUAUUCAACUACUACUAUUCACUGAAUCGUAUCCCUUUUAUAAAAGAUCUUUCUUUUUUUUAACUAUUCAUAUGAAUCCCUGACUUUUACAAUUAAAGUAAAUCGGUGGCGAUACUCUUUAUUGAUAUAAAUUUACUCUACCCUAUAUAAAUUUUUUUUUAAAUCAGUCCAAUCUGGAAUAAAUAUCAGAUAUUUUUCCACAAUUUGUAAUUAUGCAUGUCCGAUGGGAUAAAUCAUCUUGAUUAACAGAAGCUUGGAUCACCUAUACUUCUCCGUUAGAUUUUGCACUGUUAACGGGAACUUUUUUUUUAAGUAGACAACACUUUGAUACAUCCGACAAUAAUCCUCGGGAGCUCAAUAGAGAAUCUCAGAUUGACGUAUCUCUAAUGAAAUAAUAUAGUAACUCUUGUUAUGUCCUCGAGUUCGCACGUUCAAACUGAGCGAGCUGACAGUAUCCUAUCCAAAUCAGGAGGACAGAUUUUCUUGAUAUUACUUUCGCUACUCUGUGCCAAAACCUCCAACAUUGAAGAGUAUUAUGGAAUGUAUUGCUUUUUCGCUAAAAUACGGAAAUGGAACCGCUGUAUGUGACGACAUGUGAUUAAUAUAAGAUUCUGGAAAAAUUAUUGAAGUACUAUGUUGUCUAAAUUAACUAUCAGUGAAUUUUGAAAAAAAUGUACAUCUAAAAGGAUUAAAUAUGGCAGUACCAAGAGAAGAAUAUAUAUAUCUAGCCACAUUCAUAAUGGUAAGCAAUUUGAAAUUAUCUACAUUAUAUAGUUAUAGUUGAAUAAGAUGAAGUUUUCUUACUCGUUUCCUUGGCGAUUUAUCAUGAUUUAUAUAAGGUGCAAUGUGAAGUUUUUUACUCUCUGUGGAAACCACUUUGUCUAUAAUAAUGCAUUUUAAAUAGUUCUGACAAUUUCCCUGAAGUGUUCAUACAUUAUCUAACAUCAUCUAUAAUAUUCUGGCACUUUCGAAAGCUAAAGCUUUUAGUCUAAUUAAGUCAAUCAAUAACAUCACUGACAAAAUACAUAUAGCAUAUGAAAACGAUGUCCUAUUAUAAUGCUUUAUCAAAAUGAUAACAAAGUUGUCAGUGAUUGGGCACUAUCUGAGAAAAGUGCCGAUAAAAAUUUUCCGUAAAUUUCCAAUCAUUUCAGGCAAUUACAUUGUAAUGUUUCUUAAGCCCCUUGCAAUGUCAAGCUUUAACACAAUCUAACUAAAAGAUAUUGGAUUUUAAAUCCUCUUUAAAUGAGGAAAAAUCUUUCUGAAAUCCCGUCAAGCAAGGAAAAAAAUAACAAUAACAAAUACAUUGUUAUGACUACUUUAUUCCUGGAUGCUUUUAAUGUGCGAGUUAUGGUCAAAUCCAAUGAUUGUCACAAAGUCAAUAUAUCUAAUCAUUUGCAAUACUUUCUCCUUUCACUGGAAAAAAUAAUUACACCUUAUUCAAUACACACCAACAAGACAAAAUUAGAUCCAAGAAAAUAAGAUCACGAUCCAAGUCAUCCAGAAGAACUGUAUUAUAGCAAAUGCAAGCUUCCAAAUCACACAGAUUCAAUAAUUCCAUACAUAAUCCAUGGGCAAAAAAUUGCAACAAUUAUAAUGCACCUUUAUAAAUGUCCUUAGCAUAUUAAUUACAUAAAUGAUUACAGGUGGAAAACGAAAAUGAAAAAAAAAACAACAACACGAAUAUCUACAAAAUAGACCAAAUCCAAGACACUGAAAAUAACAGUUGAAUCUUCAGUAAUGUGUUGGCAUUCAGUAAGUGAAUGUUCAGUACAAUACAUUGUUAUAGAGAUACCUAGUUACCGAGAAAUCUUGUUAUUGCGAUUAUUCUUAGGAUAACUUACAUUCAGGAAAAUCUACGCUGAACACACACUUGCGGAAAAAAAAAUAAUCAAGAAACCUGCGAUGAUUAACAAAUUUACUGAUACUGUUUUUUUAAUCAAACAGGCUAUCUUAUGCAGUUAAAGAAUGAAAUAAUGGAGAAUUAUGAGGAGAAAUUUCUGGCAAUUGCUACAUGAUAAAGUGACAGACACUGGACAUCAAAGUCACCAGUACAAAUAUAUAUAUUUCAAACUGCAAUGUUCAAACUCCAAUGUAUAAGGACUGAACUUAUUCAGACAUGCACCAGCUGACAAAAUAUACACAAGCAUUGACUAACGGCCUACGGGCUAUGUCAUCUGAGGACAAAAGGUACUUCUAA